AUACGGAGGGUGCAAGCGUUAAUCGGAAUUACUGGGCGUAAAGCGUACGUAGGCGGUUCGUUAAGUUAGAUGAGAAAGCCCCGGGCUUAACCUGGGAACUGCAUUAAAACUGGCGGACUAGAGUUGAGUAGAGGGGAGUGGAAUUUCAGGUGUAGCGGUGAAAUGCGUAGAGAUCUGAAGGAACACCAGUGGCGAAGGCGACUCCCUGGACUCGAACUGACGCUGAGGUACGAAGGCGUGGGUAGCAAACGGGAUUAGAAACCCUAGUAGUCC
rnacentral:rRNA from 1 species